GACGAACGCUGGCGGCGUGCUUAACACAUGCAAGUCGAACGGUGAAGCGCCUUCCUUUUUGGUGGGUGUGGAUGCGUGGCGAACGGGUGAGUAACACGUGAGUAACCUGCCCCCUUCUUCUGGAUAACCGCAUGAAAGUGUGUCUAAUACGGGAUAUUCUGGGUCUUUCGCGUGGUGGGUCUGGGUAAGAUGUUGUUUCUGGAGGGGAUGGGCUCGCGGCCUAUCAGCUUGUAGGUGCGGUGAUGGUCUACCAAGGCGGGGAGGUGUGGCAGGCCUGAGGGGGUGGACGGUCUGACUGGGAGUGAGACACGGUACAGACUGAUACGCGGGGCAGCAGUGGGGAAUAGUGCGCAAUGGGCGAAAGUCUGAUGCAGCGACGCCGCGUGAGGGAUGGAGGCCUUCGGGUGGUGAACCUCUUUCGCCAGUGAAGCAGGCCUGCCUCGUUUGUGGGUUGGUUGACGGUAGCUGGAAAAGAAGCGCCGGCUAACUACGUG
rnacentral:rRNA from 1 species